GGGCAGAAAGGGUUGGCAUAUGCAGCAUGUGAAGAAACACUUCAUUUUUAUUCCCACCCCCCCCCCCCGCCUUUGGAUGUUGGUCUAUGUGUGACCUCAUGAGAACAGAGCAGCAAAUGGGCAUCAAUCAUUAAAGCAGAGGUUCCUAAGUGCCAACGCAAAUGCACGCGCUGCAAUCAAAUCAAUAGCUCUGACGAUCUGUUCAAGGCAACCUAAUGCCUCCUCCAGCCAAAUAACACUGCCCUCUUAAUGGAGGAAAUCCGUCCUCGGUGAGGGGAGCCUUGGCACGGCCAGCAGCUCAUUUAAAACCUGCAAAAAGAGCAUGAAAGCAGCAUGGAUGGGGAAAAAGCCUCCGCACUGGAAAAAGUACUCUUUUGGUCAAGACCAUAUUUUGACCAAUAUUUUUACCAUAUUGGUCAAGACAAGUUUUUAGGUUUUUUUCAUAUUAAAAGUGAGAUAGGAGAGAAUAUUGGGCUACGACACGUGUAUGUGGGCCAUGCUGGGGCUCUGCUGUGAGCUGUGGGACACCUUCGGUCUUCUCCAGCAGCUGCAGCAAAGGCUGCCUCGGCUCCGCAACCCUGCUGCUGCUGCCGGGCUCCCUGCCUUGUCCGUUUGCCAGCCAUUAGCUUCUGCCUUCCAAAAGGAAAAUUUAAGGAGUAAACCAGACCUGAGCGGGAUGCAAAGAAAGCAGCGAUCAUUGUGUCAGGGUACCCGUGUUUCUCAGAAAAAUGCUUCAUUUGGCUUCUCAGCCCAGCAGAAACUGGAUUAAAAUGCUCUAAAUUUGGAAAGUGAACACAAGGCAUUCCAAAUUUGCCAGGUUUUACCAGUAAUCGUAAAGCUGACGUUAGCUUCAGAAUAGCAGGGGGAAAAAAAAAAGUUUGUGUCCAUUUGCAUUUGACAGCUCAAAGUCUUGAAGCCUGAUGUUGCUACAAAUUAGUUGGACAUAAAUCAGAAUUAACUCCUCCGAAGUCAGCAGAAUUGCAAGCACCUGAAAGCCGGCCGGGUGGGUGGGGGGAGCGGGGGCUCUGUGUGCUGUCGGGGCAGCACGGUCCUGCCAGGCCCCUCAGAACAACUCCCUGCCUCUCCAAAAUGAACCGUGUAAGCAAGUAAGUGAAUUAAUGUUAGUUGUGACCUAUAUUUUGGAAGAUAAGGAGAUGUCGGUUGAACUCGCCAUGCCGUGACGGCGGUUCCUGGCCGUGCGGCCGUUACAGUGGUUUUCUGCUUCGUGGGGAAGAAGCGAGACGUAAAGUGCAGUGCCUGUCCUGAGGAAAAGGCUCGGAAACGUGGCCCUGGGCGGCAGCUGGAGAUGCCAACGGCAGAGGGAAUAUCCUGCUCCUUCCCAGAGCUCUUUAAGAACCAGCAGUAUGCAUCUCCUUCUGCACUUUCCUGCUUCGGGUGAAGUCAGUGGCCUUGGACUUCAAAAGGGUCAGAGCUUCACUUCCAGUUUUCCUUCUCAGCCUUCGGAUAUACCAAACGUUCAAACAGAUGAACGUGACUGGGAUGAUCAUGACUGUGUGGUCAAGUUGAACAUCACAGUCCAGAAGGGUCUUCUCAGGUAGGCCACCGUAAUAUUUCAUGACACUUGCGCUUAUAUUUGGCAUCCUCUUUCACCACAUGGGUUUUUCUUUGGAUUUACCCAGUACUUCCUGCAAAAACGGAAAGAAAUUCAUUACUUCAGCGCACUGAUGCAAAACGCCGUCCCUGCAGCAGGGCGUCUGGGACCAUGCCCCGGGUAUCUGUUGCAGGCGGCAUCCCACUGUGGCUAGCAGGCUGUUGUGUUUGUGAAUUUGAUUUUCAGGUGCGAGGCAGAGCUCGAGGCUGUUUAUGCUGGCAGAGAGCGUGCCGGGAGGCAAGAGGGCACUUGCGGCGGUUGUAGCGAUUCACAGAAACGUAAAGGCUCCGACGUAACUGGUGUCGACCUCUAACAGAACCAACGCUGAACGCUGCCGUGACUAGUGCCACAGGACAUGGAGCCUCUUAGCGCACUGUCACGGAGCAGACGGCAUGUGCCGGUGGGCACCUGCCCCCAGAGCAGCAGGACGAGGAGGAGGAGCAGGUGAGGAGCAAGGGACCCUGGCUACGGGUCUGACUCUGCGGAGAAUCCCCAGGACACACGGAAAGGAGAAAACACCUACAGCUUCCCGGCAGGAAAAUGGAAGGGUCAUCAGGGAAACACAACGGCAGCAUGGCUUGCUAAAGAAAAACAACAGAGUGACGAAAAACGGCUGUCGGCGACCGAGAAAUACUCAAAUCCACCGAUUUUAACACUCCCCCGUGCUAGUCACCUCGAACCCGCGCGACCUCUGUGUGGAAAACGUGCCCGGCCGUAUGGCUGCAUCGCCGAGCUUUUCCACAAAGA